rnacentral:tRNA from 1 species
GCUCAGAGCUCAGUGAUAGAGUGCUUGAAACUAGUAUGCAUGAGGUCCUGGGUUCCAUUCCCAGCACUGAAUG